rnacentral:rRNA from 1 species
GACAGAGGGUGCAAACGUUGUUCGGAAUUACUGGGCGUAAAGCGCGUGUAGGCGGCUAAGUAAGUCGGGCGUGAAAUCCCACGGCUCAACCGUGGAAGUGCACUCGAAACUGCAUAGCUAGAGUCCUGGAGAGGAAGGUGGAAUGCUUGGUGUAGAGGUGAAAUUCGUAGAUAUCAAGCGGAACACCGGUGGCGAAGGCGGCCUUCUGGGACAGUGAC